CAGCAGCCGCGGUAAAACGUAGGGUGCAAGCGUUAAUCGGAAUUACUGGGCGUAAAGCGUGCGCAGGCGGUUAUAUAAGACAGAUGUGAAAUCCCCGGGCUCAACCUGGGAACUGCAUUUGUGACUGUAUAGCUAGAGUACGGCAGAGGGGGAUGGAAUUCCGCGUGUAGCAGUGAAAUGCGUAGAUAUGCGGAGGAACACCGAUGGCGAAGGCAAUCCCCUGGGCCUGUACUGACGCUCAUGCACGAAAGCGUGGGGAGCAAACAGGAUUAGAUACCCCCGUAGUCCUGUCUCUUAUACC
rnacentral:rRNA from 1 species